GACGAACGCUGGCGGCGUGCUUAACACAUGCAAGUCGAGCGAGGCCCCUCCUUCGGGAGGGUGUCCUAGCGGCGAACGGGUGAGUAACAUGUGGGCAACCUGCCCUCAGCUCUGGGAUAACUCCGGGAAACCGGGGCUAAUACCGGAUACGACCUCCACGGGCAUCUGCGGAGGUGGAAAGUUUUUCGGCUGAGGAUGGGCCCGCGGCCUAUCAGCUAGUUGGUGGGGUAGUGGCCCACCAAGGCGACGACGGGUAGCCGGCCUGAGAGGGCGACCGGCCACACUGGGACUGAGACACGGCCCAGACUCCUACGGGAGGCAGCAGUGGGGAAUAUUGCGCAAUGGGCGAAAGCCUGACGCAGCGACGCCGCGUGAGGGACGAAGGCCUUCGGGUUGUAAACCUCUUUCAGCAGGGACGAAGCGAAAGUGACGGUACCUGCAGAAGAAGCACCAGCCAACUACGUG
rnacentral:rRNA from 1 species